UCGCCUGCAGCCUCGCUGAGGACCGACCCGCUUGAAGCCCCCAGGCUGUUCACUGAUGUCAUAGCAGUCCAUUGUCUGUCUGGCACCACGGCAGUAACUCCAUCACCUUAUCCUGCCUGCCACCCGCAAGGAGCCACAUGGAUCAAGACAGAUAUGAGGUGGAGCUUCACAUUGCCGCUGACUUGCACAGGGAACUGAAAAUGCCUGGCUCUGCUCUUGCACAGGUGGGAAUUACAGGCACACCAGGACAAGCUCAAAGCCAAGUGUGUUUCUCUGGAGUCAAAUGCUUCUGUGCAGCGUUAUCAGUUGCUAUCCUUUUCCUCUGUCAGUGAGCCCUGAAGAAGAGCACAUCCCUACUUUCUGCUGGGAAUAACAGCUGCAGUUGGAGAAUAAACAUGAGAUUUUCCAAGCUGUAAAUGUUGAAUAAGCAGAUAACUCCUCAGAUGGAAAUUUGGGAGAUUUGUUGGCAUCUGUUUGUAGUUUAACAAGGAUAAGUUUGCUAAUGGAGGCUGAAGAGGAAAUGAAUGUGGAAGGACAGCUGGCUAAAACUGCAAGUGAUGCUUUUCAUCAGCACAGAACUGAUGUAACAAAGGGUGUUCUGUCACUGGGUCAGAGGAUUUGUGAUUGCUAGGUUUGGAGCAUAGAUAAGAGCUAUAAUCAGGCAAAAGUUCAGCCCUAGGAUUUAGCUAUAGCCUUUGCUGUUCUGCCUUGGGUGUCAUUUAGAUUAAUUCAAAACCUGUUUUUUGUCCUGCAUGACACAGAUUGCAGGAGCAGAUUCCCUUGGGUUUUCAGUCAGUGUAUGUCAAAACCAUGUCUCCACAUUUUUGGGUGAUGAGUUCAAAAUAAUCUCAUGCCUAAUGCCAGUGAUUAAUUUUGUGAUUAUUCAACAUGAAAUGCCCUCAGGUGUCAGAUUUCCAGAGGGAUUAUAUACUCACAAAUUAAAUGAUCCAGUAGCUCUAAAAUACUGCUAUAAAACCAUAGGAAGAUCAUAUUAAACCUAGAGAAAUUCAGCAAGACAUAUCUGAGCUAACUAUCCAUCAUUCCUUCUAGUAAAUAAAGGAUCUUUUAGACCAACUUCUACAAAGUGCAUUAUCUAAUUUAACAGGGAACUGAAACAUUUGUCACAAUGUGGAAAAAAAUAAGGUACUUUUAGAGUUUAAGUUGAUUUUCAUUGUGUCUGUUAAGAUUUUCUUUCCCCUGAUUGUUAACUUAGGAGCACUUGAGCACCCUACAGCAGUGUCCUAACCAUUUCACUUAACAUAGGAUAGGAAUUAACACAAGCAUAAAUUUAAAUAUUUCAAAAAUAACAUGAUUACCUGCUGUUUUAUUGGUUUCUGUGUUACCUCUGUCAGAUCAGAAUUUGAUUUCCAAUGUCUUCAAUUCUUCAAUUUUGUAACCUGGUUUUCAGGAGCAGCAGGUUUUGUCCUUGUUUCUCUGCAAGGCACACAGUUGUGCCUCUGGCUUUUUGCUGGAAUAUCCAAGCAUUAACUAAAAUUUUUCAACAGUUAAAACUCAAUGAAAUCAGAUGCACAUGUUUGCAUGUUUAGGUAGGAAUUCCCACAGCACAAAUAUGUUUGCACUGCACAUUUAUGUUCAUGAUUAUAUACAUCCAGAAAUAGCACAAAUAUAUUUGAUAGAAUCGAAGAAUGG